UACGGAGGGUGCAAGCGUUAUCCGGAUUCACUGGGUUUAAAGGGUGCGUAGGUGGCGGGGUCAGUCUGACGUGAAAUCUCCGGGCUUAACCCGGAAAUGGCGUUGGAAACUACCUUGCUUGAGGGUUGGAGGGGGGACUGGAAUACUUGGUGUAGCAGUGAAAUGCGUAGAUAUCAAGUGGAACACCAGUGGCGAAGGCGAGUCCCUGGACAACUCCUGACACUGAGGCACGAAAGCUAGGGGAGCAAACGGG
rnacentral:rRNA from 1 species